rnacentral:rRNA from 1 species
CCUUCUCAAACAGCGAUGUUUGGUUGUGAGUGAUACUCGGACGAGUUAGCUUGAAAAUGCUGGCCGGUGGCUGCGGUGGCCGGGGCUUCCUAUCCUGCUGCGACAGGGGAGCUCUGCCGGACGUCUUCGUACUAGGUUCUGCCAAUUCGGGGACAACUGGCGGGGGUUUCUGUGGCGGGAGCUACGGGGGGCCCGUUGACGGCUGCGGACAGACAGCAGUGGCGAACAGUGUUCUUUUAAGU